GGACUACCGGGGUAUCUAAUCCCGUUUGCUCCCCUAGCUUUCGCGGAUCAGCGUCAGUAAUGGUCCAGAAUGCCGCCUUCGCCACCGGUGUUCCUCCAGAUAUCUACGCAUUUCACCGCUACACCUGGAAUUCCACAUUCCUCUCCCAUACUCUAGCCUCCCAGUAUCAGACGCAGUUCCCAGGUUAAGCCGGGGGAUUUCACGUCUGACUUAGAAGGCCGCCUACUCGCCCUUUACGCCCAGUAAUUCCGAACAACGCUUGCCACCUCUGUAUUACCGCGGCUGCUGGCAC
rnacentral:rRNA from 1 species